CUGACCAAGGGGACACGUUAACACCCUGUUUCUGUAUCGAAUUCACAACGUUAUUUUUCCCUUUUCUGCCAAAAGGAUUCAAAUCAAAAUGUCAAAGAAGCAGAAGAAGAAUGUUUAAGGAGCAGAUGAGGGAACUUCUGACUUGUUCACUCUGUCUGGAUGUCUUUGAUGAUCCCCGUCAGCUUUUGUGUGGACAUUCCUUCUGCUUAGGAUGUAUUAGAAACCUUGCCAUAUCAAUGCAAUAUGAUCCAUUUUUCAAGUGUCCAAUCUGCAGGUUUUGUUUCGGGCCAGUAAUGCACAGUUUCAACACCCUGGCACUGAGUGGCACUGCGGACUACUACUACUACAAGAAUGCCUCCGAGGAAAACAAUUGGUUGAGCAACCAAAUGAGAGAGCUGCUAACCUGCUCAGUGUGUCAGGACAUCUUUGAUGACCCACGCCAGCUUCGUUGUGGUCACAGUUUCUGCAAGAGCUGUUUGAAAUACCAGUCAGAAUUGCAACGUGGGAAUCAGAUUUUCAGCUGCCCUGAUUGCAGGACUAUCUUUCCAAGAGUUAAUUUAUUUAAAACCUUCUCAGUGAACAGCAUUGUGGACAGCUUCAGAUGUGCCCUUGAGGAGGAGCCAACGGCUGCUCGCCCCACUGAACGCCCCCCUGUAGACAACUUGAGGAACAUGUAUGAGGUUUGCCUUUUUGUGCUGACACCUGUAGCUGGACUAGCAGACCACCUGCUCUAAUAUCAGCAUUGGCACUUUAACGCAAAAUAAUUCACAUUUUUGUUCAAUCAUCUUUGUUUUGAAAAUGUAUAAUUUAGCCAACAUUAUGAUAAUAAUCAUAUAAAAUGCGGACA